rnacentral:rRNA from 1 species
AUUGAACGCUGGCGGCAGGCCUAACACAUGCAAGUCGAGCGAGCGGCGGACGGGUGAGUAAUGUCUGGGAAACUGCCUGAUGGAGGGGGCUAACUACUGGAAACGGUAGCUCAUACCGCAUACCAUCAGAUGUGCCCAGAUGGGUUUAGCUAGUAGGUGGGGUAACGGCUCACCUAGGCGACGAACCCUAGCUGGUCUGAGAGGAUGACCAGGCACACUGGAACUGAGACACGGUCCAAACUCCUGCGGGAGGCAGCAGUGGGGAAUAUUGCACAAUGUGCGCGAGCCUGAUGCAGCCAAGCCGCGUGUGUGAGAAGGUCCUUCGGGUUGUAACGCACUUGCAGCGGGGAGGCGGUACCCGCAGAAGGAGCACCGGCUAACUCCGUGCCGACAGCCGCGGUAGUAC